rnacentral:lncRNA from 1 species
CGACGCUGACUUGUUUUACGCUUUUUACCCCUUUUUAACCGAGCUGUUUUUCUGUCCUGCUCUUAGUUUAUUACCCUUCCCGUGACUGCGUUCCUCCGCGAGCCCCGAGAGACGCUGUAGGAAUUCGGUGUGCUUGGCCUCGAGAGCGAGUUCUCCCCGCCAACGGCGCCGCGCCGCCGCGGAAAACCAGCCCUGCGCUUCCACGCCUGCCGGCGUGGCCAAGAAGGAAGCCGGUGGCGAAAGAGCGAAGCUUGUGCUGGUUUAAAGAGCUCGUUUUCAGGCCGUUGAAAGCGACUCGAGCUGCGAAAGCUGCCCGGGCGCUGUGCCGCCAGCUCGGGAAGCGAAGGCGAUGGCGAAGCACCGGCUCGACCUGGAAGGCGCGGAGGCUUAGACAAGUAAUUUUAGGACGGGAAUACUGCUUGUUGGAGGUCUCACGCAGUUCCCGGUGAUCCCUCCCUUCCCGACGCUUAUAUAUUCCUCGUUGCCGGCCGUUUUGGCUUGUUCCUUUUCCUCCUCCGUUCGCAGCAGCGCUGGCUAUGCAAGAGAUCAAGCCGCUCUCCGGGCCGCAGAGCGAAACGGGGAAAUCGCAUUUUAGGGAGAACGCUGCUCGUGUCCGCCGGGCUGCCUCCACAGGAGAGGACUAGGACUAGCGGGAGUCUUUUCCGCGGUGGCCGUAAAAGCCUUGAAGCGGCAAACGCCGUGAUUCGAAGCCUUCAAGGCUUAAGCGUGCAGCGCUCGGAGAGAAGCCGGCAGCGUAACAGCGAGAGGGUUUGGCGUAGCAGGUGGAAAGGAUUUUGUGAUCUCGGCCAGAAAAGGUCCUUUCGUGAAUCCGAUACAGCAAGAAAGAGGUGCUUCUGGUACAGCGGUUCCUAAUAACACGAGGAUUUUCUCCUAAAAACAGUAAAUAAAACAUCUGCCUGUGGUGUUUGGAGCCUCUCU